AGGGCACCACCAGGAGUGGAGCCUGCGGCUUAAUUUGACUCAACACGGGAAAUCUCACCAGGCCCGGACACCGUAAGGAUUGACAGAUUGAUAGCUUUUUCAUGAUUCGGUGGAUGGUGGUGCAUGGCCGUUCUUAGUUCGUGGAGCGAUUUGUCUGGUUUAUUCCGAUAACGAGCGAGACUCUAGCCUACUAAAUAGUUCGCACAUUGUCAACUUGUGUGCGCCUACUUCUUAGAGGGAUUUUCGGUGUUCAGCCGCACGAGAUUGAGCAAUAACAGGUCUGUGAUGCCCUUAGAUGUCCGGGGCUGCACGCGCGCUACACUGGCGAAAUCAGCGUGCUUAUCCUUUCUCGAAAGGGAUUGGUAAACCAUUGAAAAUUUGCCGUGAUUGGGAUCGGAAAUUGCAAUUAUUUUCCGUGAACGAGGAAUUCCAAGUAAGUGCGAGUCACCAACUCGCGUUGAUUACGUCCCUGCCCUUUGUACACACCGCCCGUCGCUACCCGGGACUGAGCCAUUUCGA
rnacentral:rRNA from 1 species